AUUGAACGCUGGCGGCAUGCUUUACACAUGCAAGUCGAACGGUAACAGGCCUUCGGGUGCUGACGAGUGGCGAACGGGUGAGUAAUGCAUCGGAACGUGCCCAAUCGUGGGGGAUAACGUAGCGAAAGUUACGCUAAUACCGCAUAAGCCCUGAGGGGGAAAGCAGGGAUCGCAAGACCUUGCGCGAAUGGAGCGGCCGAUGUCAGAUUAGCUAGUUGGUGGGGUAAAGGCCUACCAAGGCGACGAUCUGUAGCGGGUCUGAGAGGAUGAUCCGCCACACUGGGACUGAGACACGGCCCAGACUCCUACGGGAGGCAGCAGUAGGGAAUAUUGGGCAAUGGACGAAAGUCUGACCCAGCCACGCCGCGUGAAGGAUGACUGCCCUAUGGGUUGUAAACUUCUUUUGUAUGGGAAGAAAUUACCGAACGUGUUCGGAGCUGACGGUACCAUAAGAAUAAGCAUCGGCUAACUCCGUGCCAGCAGCCGCGGUAAUGUAGUCG
rnacentral:rRNA from 1 species